rnacentral:rRNA from 1 species
AUUGAACGCUGGCGGCAUGCUUUACACAUGCAAGUCGAACGGUAACAGGCCUUCGGGUGCUGACGAGUGGCGCACGGGUGCGUAAUUCAUCGGAACGUGCCCAGAGGUGGGGGAUAACGCAGCGAAAGCUGUGCUAAUACCUCAUGUGAUCUGAGGAUGAAAGCGGGGGACCAAGCAGCAAUGUUUGGCCUCGCGCCUCUGGAUCGGCCGAUGUCAGAUUCGGUAGUUGGUGGGGUAAAGGCCUACCAAGCCGACGAUCUGUAGCUGGUCUGAGAGGACGACCAGCCACACUGGGACUGAGACACGGCCCAGACUCCUACGGGAGGCAGCAGCGGGGAAUUUUGGACAAUGGGCGCAAGCCUGAUCCAGCAAGGCCGCGUGCGGGAAGAAGGCCUUCGGGUUGUAAACCGCUUUUGUACGGAACGAAAAGGCUCUGGCUAAUACCUGGGGCUGAUGACGGUACCGUAAGAAUAAGCACCGGCUAACUACGUG